AUUUUUGGUCAAAAGUGGAUGCUAACAUCAAUUUGUUUUUUUUUAAACAUCACAUAUUAUUUGUGCUGUAUUACCUUUUUUGUUUGCAUUUUUUGUUUUGUUUUAUUUAAAUUUUAAUUUGUUAAGUACUGUGCAUAUUGUUCGAUAGAUAUCUAAUGACAUUGGACAUGUACUUUUUAGAUUUAUUGAUAUUCAUAACAUGAUUUAAAUGAAAUUUCUGAAUUCAUGUCCAGUGGGUGGCCCUUAACAAAUGUCAUGCUCUUUCUAACAAUAUUUUACCGUGUAGAUUAAAGCUUCUUUUACUUAUUUACGCAGCAGAUAAAUUAUCCAUAAAUGUAAACAAAAAAUACAUUUUUAAAUUGUGUUUUCCAAUAAGAUUUUAAAUAGUGGCUCUCCAAAAAUGUAUGCUAUGUUGACUCAGUUUUGACACUAUUACUAGAGUGCACUUAAACAGACCUGUAUAUAAUGUGCACAUGUUUCAUACCGCUGUGAUUUUUACAAUUAUUCAUUAUGUACACACAUCUUUCUGGGAUAGAUUUGCACAUCUCAUUUUUUUAAACUAACAAAAUUGCCUACACUUUAUAGAUUUUUUAACUCAAUAAUCUGUUUCAAAUUUCAUUUUUUUUUUUUUUUUAAACUGUGCUGUGAUUUUGCCUUUCUUGUAAGCAUUGUUGCCCAUGUCAUUUUAAGGGUUGAUAUGAUCAUUGCUCCAGUUGCAAUGUAUUAAAUACUUCGAUGUAAAAGCUGGUGCAUGUAAUGUAAAAGUUACUGGUUUAAAAUGCUGCCUCUUAAGAGGCAGGAUAAUUUUCUACAUAGGCAAUAAAUGAUUUUAUCUUGAAAUUAGUAGCAUCUCUGUACAAGUGAAUUCAUUUCAUUUGUCAAUACACCUGAUCAUUUUACAUUCCUUGUUUUUCGAACUCAUGCAUUUCUUUCAAAAAACUGACAUUUUGUUAUUAAAACAAAUCAAUUGAGCCUGCCUUUAAAAAAUUAUUUGGAAGAGCAAAAAAAAAAAAAAUUCUGCAAAUGUCACAUACUUGUAAAUGAUUUUAAAACAUGAGAAAUGGUUGUUUGUGAGGUUAGCAUGUAAAAAAUGUAAUCAACUGGACCUUUAUAAACAACAAUCUGGGAUUGCGAAUUGACAUUAUACACUUUGUAAGUAACACUUUCUUCCCAAAUCCAUCACGUCUGUUUUAACAUUUUUCAUUCCUCACCUCAUCAUUAAAGAUUUUGUUAUUGGGAAUGGGGCAAGUUUUUGGAAUCACUGUUUAGUCAAUAUUUCUGUGGAGUUUCUAUAGGGGUGUAAAACUUUUUAAAAAGCUGUUCGUAUGCUAAAAAAUGUAGCACAGUAGAAUUUGUAUGCAUUAUAUACAACUACCAAAAUGUGGCUCAUAGAUCACUUUAAUAUUUAGACUUCAAGGUUAACAAAGUGGGGUUUGUACAUCUUUUGCAGUGCAUGUUUUAAUCAUAUCGUCCCCCAUAUCAUCAACAUUUGUUGCAUACUUUUAUAAAGUCAUUGACUCCACUUUCAAUGUAAAAUGACUUAUUCCAGUGUUUAAUGUAUUGUGUAGUCUUUUGACAACAUUGGAUGCUUGUGAUCAAAUUCAUAUAUUUUAUAUGUUUCCGGUGAAAAAAAGCAUAGUUUCCUAAAAAAGGCUUAUUGAAUAGUAGAUAUUGACGGCUUUCAUUCAGUAAUACAUUUUUAAUUAAUUGCUUCAUAUUUUAACAACUCCAUUAGGUAUAUUUUAAUGAGAAAUAAAGUAUUUGGUGUGCUAUAUCGGUAAUAUUACCCUCUACUUGUAUUUUCAUUUGGAAUAAACCAUCUAUAAUCAUAUAUUAAAUAGCAUACACAUGAUCAAAUACUAUGUGGCACUUGUUAUAUGAAUUGUUUUUCUAAAAAUAGUGUUCGACAAAUAUGAUUUUAUUACAUUUAAGGCAGUCCUGAAACAAUUAAAAUAUUUGUUGAAGUCCUAGAUUUAAACGUUUUUGGUCAAUAAAGUUUAUUUCCUGCUUUUAGCAUAUUAGCGAUGUGUAUGGGCCAAAAAUGUGGUUCCAUUCGGAAAUUUCGGGUAAGUAAAAUAAUUUGUCUGCUUUAGCAAUUCGGACCAAUGGCAUUCGAUUUGGUUCGGCACUUCCGAACUACCGAACUUCAGCAAUUCGGAACUUUGGUAAUUCGUAGCUUUGGUAAUUCAGAACUUCGGCGCUUUGGACAUUCGUAAGCAUCCGAAUUGCAUGAAACGAAUUGCACAUGUCUAGUAAGUGGUUGUGGUGGCAGUCCAGGCACAGGGAGCCCUAUAGAUGUGUAAGUGGUUGUGGUGGCAAUCCUGGCACUGGGAGCCCAAUAGAUGUGUAAGUGGUUGUGGUGGCAGUCUGGGCACUGGGAGCCCUACAGAUGUGUAAGUGGUUGUGGUGAACGUCCUGGCACUAGGAGCCCUAUAGAUGUGUAAGUGGUUUUGGUGGCAGUCCGGGCACUGGGAGCCCCGUGCCCAUAAUUGCACAUGUCUAUGGCAUAUUAUAAUAAGCAAUUUAUUUAAGAACUUGGCUGCAGGAUCUAUAUAUAACGUUCAUUUAUGAACUGCAUUGGAGAGUUGUUUAAAGACAUGAACCCUUAAACUAUUGAUAGCAUUUUAACAAUUUUAUUCAUGCGUCAGAGUUCGUAAGCUGGAGCAAUUGCAAUAGAAUAUAAUUGACUCUUUAUUUAUUUUUAGAGGGUAAUUCUAAACACCAUUACAACCUUGCAAAGAUUGCAGGCUUUUGCAAAGAUCAUGGUACAUAUAUCCCCCUAAGAUUACAGCCCUGGAACUGCAGUGAUCCCUUAAAUUGUUAGCUCCUGAGUUAUCUGGCUAAUCACUUAGUAGAAAAGUACCAUAUUUGCUAUUUUGUAAACUCUCAAGUAGGGUCUUCUGUUCCUUUUGUAGCGAUACACAUUCAUUAUUUGUCUACAUUGCCUAUAUUGUACAGUGUAUGUUAGCACAACAUAAAUGCCAAUUAAUAAUAAUAAUUUGUGAAAAUCGCUCUAAGACAGGCCCUCAGAGCUGUCAGUCAAAUAGUAUGGUUCACGCUGCUCAACGUCAGUUUUAUCCACGUUUUGUGAGUGGCUUCUGGACUGAGCUGAACUUUCUUGUCCAGGGAGAGACAAACUAUAGUCCAUGCAUGCGCAAACGGUGGAUCUGCUGAUUACGGCACCUAACCCGAUUCACAGUGAACUAAACUAUGGGUAAGCUGAUAGAUGCGGUGAUAUGGCUACUGUCAUCUUACAAUUCAAUUUGAAUAGUUUUGUCCCUGAGUGCAUUUUUUGUUUUAGAGUUUAUUAAAUAAAAUUAUUAUUAAGUUAUUUUAGCAUAAAGAGAACACUUCUAAGGACUCAAACUAUUGCAGAAAAGGAUACAAUCCCCUGCUUUGUUCUUUCUUGUUAGAUCAGUUAUAUACAGGAGAAUGUGCUCACUGUGCUCAUAUCAGUGGUUCCCAACCCAGUCCUCAAGUACCUCCUAACUGUCCAGGACUUAGGGAUUACCCAGUUGUGUAUAAGGUGUUUUUAGAAAAAAAAAACAACACUUUAGGCACAACAGGGUGAUCCCUAAAUCCUUGACUGAUAGGGGGUACUUGAGGACUGGGUUGGGAACCCCUGUAUUAUAUGAUAUCAUUUAAAAUGGAUACAACAGGAAAAUAAUGUCUUUUCUGAGUGCUGGAGAUGUAAUAAGUCAAAAGACUGAAAGCUGUUUGGUUUGUGGAUAUUUUCUAAACAUCAAUAUUUUGUAUAAAUAUUUAUUACAUCUCCCUACAUCUUUCAGAGUACCUAUCACUAUCUAAAAUCAAUGUGUUUUAAACAUACAACACAUAUAUAUUUAAGGACCACUCCACUGCCCAAAUACACACAAAACAAAUUAUUAAAAAGGUUUAGUAGACAAAUCCCCAACAAAAACAUCUAUGUAUGUAAUCAUACAUCUUCAUCUUUUCAUUGGGUGUAUACCUAAAACAGCUUACAAAACCAUCAGAUCUCUUGUCUGCAGCCUUUGCAAGCCCUGCCCUUCUUCCCCAGCCCAGACUUUCUGUGACUGUCCAAUCACAGACUUCCCAAUACAGCUCAAUGAGUAGUGCAAUUGCUGCCUCUUGAGUUUAGCUCUAUUGAAUAAAACAGACCAGGAAGUAACAGGACUUGUUGUCUGAUUGACAGCCAUAGGGGUGUAAAAAGGUUAAUUAUAUAAAGCGCCAAUUUCUAUUAAAAUCUGCACUUUUUGUCAAAUGAAAAAAAGAGGACACGCUCUUUACACAUAAAGCAUUUUGUGAAGCUAAAGUUCUUUAGGGGUGCAGAGUGUCCCUUUAAGAUAGUAGAUGAUGAUUGUAUCUUUUUUAGCUUUUACAAUGAAAAAUGACUAGUAGAAGUAUCACUUCUCAGAAUGUUAAAUAUUAUGUUAUUUAUCCCUAUGUUUAAUAAUAUAUAUGUGUGAGAUGUGCAAAGUAAAAUUAACUGUAGAAAUCCACACCUCUUUAUCCUGCAAAGUGGGCAUCUCCAUCUUGGCUCCGUGUCAAUCAUUGUAUAAACUCUGUCCUUUGCUGGCAGUCAGCAUAGAGAGAUCAUACAGAGAAGAGGAGAUAUUAAGAAAAAAUCAUUCCUCUUCUAUUGUAUUGUUUGCCCUGGCUGUGCCUUGUCUGAAGUGAAUUAUGAUGUAAUUAGUGAAAUUGUUAAUAUGAAUACAAAAUAAAAUAAAAUAUAGUAUCUCAUGAAAAAAAGGUUAACACGAGUUAUAGGGGAUUUUCAAUGUUUUGAACAAACGUCUAAAUGUGUUUUCUUAUAUAAUUCUAGCAGACAGAAAGUUUAAUUGGCGUUAUAGUAUUUGUAUAAAUAGUUAUCACUGCAAAGGAGAAGUAUUUAUGCAAGUAAAUAAUUUCAUCAUUAAAUUUCAUUCAUAGGUUAUAGACUAAAGUAAGCAUUCAAAGUGAAUUUCACAUUUAAUUGAACAUAUAUAUUUAUUUUAUUUUUAUUUGGCAUUCCCCCUUUAAAACCAGAAAAACAAGACUGUUCAACUUACCUGAAAUCCAGUGCUUUGCGAAGCUCCCCGGCGCUGUUCUCCACGCUUCUUCUUAGACCACCAAGGGCCCCGCAUGGUCAAAUCAAAUGCUUCUCACAAAGAAUCAUUUGAUUGGACCGUUUCACUGGCUCAGAGUACAUGCGACAGCUAAGCACACCUUGCAUCUCGGGCUAUAGUGACAUCACACAUCACUAUACUGGAAGCCACCGGUAGCUAUUUUUACAGCUUGCCGAAGCUCAGCUUACACCUACGUUUCACAAUAGUGUUGUAUUGAGUUUUGUCAGUUAACCCCUUAAGGACACAUGACAUGUGUGACAUGUCAUGAUUCCCUUUUAUUCCAGAAGUUUGAUCCUUAAGGGGUUAAAGUACAAGUAAACCAAAAUAAUUAAUAUUGCAUUUUUUUCACACGUCAUUCCUAUUUAUGACUAUUUUUUUAGAUGAAGCUGGUUAGUACAUUUCCACUAAAUAUGUUUUAUCUUAUAUGUUAAAAUAGAGCAAAUAAAAUGAUUGUGUCUUGAAUUGUUUUAUGAUACACUUGUCAUGUGUUUGUCAAUUUUACCAACAAAUGCAUUUAUUAAAACUAGUUAUAUGUUUUAUUCUAACAUAUUUACAUAUUGGAUUAUUGUAAAAGUUAUAACAAUAAAGAAAAUAAACAAAUAAUACUUCGUUACAGUAUAUUAACAUAAAAAAAUCACAACCAAUCAGACAAUAUGAAUGCAAUAAUUGACACUUCAUUUAAUACUUGUUUAAAGGACCACUAUAGUGCCAGGAAAACAUACUCGUUUUCCUGGCACUAUAGUGCCCUGAGGGUGCCCCCACCCUCAGGGACCCCCUCCCACCUGGCUCUGGAAGGGGGAAAGGGGUUUAAACUUACCUUUUUCCAGCGCUGGGCGGGGAGCUCUCCUCCUCCGAUCCUCCUCUUCUCCUCCCAGUCGGCUGAAUGCGCACGCGCGGCAAGAGCUGCGCGCGCAUUCAGCCGGUCACAUAGGAAAGCAUUCAUAAUGCUUUCCUAUGGACGCUGGCGUGCUCUCACUGUGAAAAUCACAGUGAGAAGCACGCAAGUGCCUCUAGCGGCUGUCAAUGAGACAGCCACUAGAGGGAAUGGGGGAAGGCUUAACCCAUUCAUAAACAUAGCAGUUUCUCUGAAACUGCUAUGUUUAUGAAAAAAUGGGUUAACCCUAGCUGGACCUGGCACCCAGACCACUUCAUUAAGCUGAAGUGGUCUGGGUGCCUAGAGUGAUCCUUUAACUGAUUUUCUAAAAAUCCACUGUAACUGUAUAUUGUGAUUGGAACAUUGACCAAACAGGGGUGUUUUCUAAAGUGAAAUUGUGAAUUGGAAGUGAAUUUCAAACUGAAUUUUCCACAAUAACUGAUUUCAGUUCUGAGGUCUGGGCAUGAAGGUUUAAAUUUAGUUAGAAUUUCUGACAAUGUUAUUAAAUAUCUAAGCUAUGGAAUAUCUUUGAGAAGCUGAUUAUUUUGGCCUGACGUUUACGAAGCCCUUUUCAUUUCCUCACAAUACCUGGUUUGUGAUUCAGUUCCAUAAUUUAAGUUAUUGAAAGAGACAGCUACCUUUUCGACUGUGUUGUAUAUUUUUUUAAAGCGUAAUAAAACUCUUUUCUGAAAAGUUCAGCUUUGUAAAAGUCAGUAACAAUGAUAUUUCCAUUAUUUUAACAAUUUUAUGAAACAUAUUUUCAUCUAACAUGUUUUUUUGCAGACAUCUGUCGUUGUUUUUUUUUUGUUUUAUGUAACACCUGACAAUUAAUGAAGUAUGUAAUUUCAGUGCAGUGUAUAUCCAUUAAUUGUAAAGAUUGUACAUUUUGCAUUGUUAUUCUAUGAAGAUUUUAACUGUGAACACUAAGCAUAUGGUUUGGGGUACAAUAAACCAGUUAUUUUGAGAAUUUUGCACACUGUUAAAUAUUAAGACCUUGAUUUAUAUAGAUUUGCAAUUAUUUGAAAUAAAG
rnacentral:lncRNA from 1 species